UCAGGUCCCCUUCCACACUGUGCAAGCUUUGUUCUUUUGCUCUUCACAUUAAAUCUUGCUGCUGCUCACUCUUUGGGUCCAUGCCAUCUUUAAGAGCUGUAACACUCACCGCGAAGGUCCGCGGCUCCAUUCUUGAAGUCAGCAAGACCACGAACCCACCAGAAGGAACCAGCUACGGACACAAAACUUCAUAUAAGUAAGAUUUCAGGUUCCUCUUUACUGUGCCCUGGGACCAAGGUAAGCAGGCACAAAGGAAUGGCUUCUGAAACAUGUAGACGAGCAUAGGCACAUACCAGCAUAUGCUUUCAAUAAUGAGGAAGAAGAAAACGAAUAUAACGGCUGAGAAGCUUCCAAUAUACCACCAAAUCCGGACUCUGGAGACUCCCAAGCAGACUGUAAAAGCUGAUUGCCUCAAAGUGUCAAAAUCCAAAUCUAAAAUCAUAUCCUGUCCUUUCUUCUGGCACCUAUCAAGAUGAUUCUGAGGGGUUUAUAAGUUUCUUAUAAUAACCUAUUUCAUAGUAUGGAAAAGUUGUCAUGAAACUCCUGUUUGUUACCUCAUUAUGGUGUCCUUGUUUCUUGUUUAGCAAUAGCCUAAACAGGCUCUGCGGGAU
rnacentral:lncRNA from 1 species